UUUUGGACAAUGGGCGAAAGCCUGAUCCAGCAAUGCCGCGUGCAGGAUGAAGGCCUUCGGGUUGUAAACUGCUUUUGUACGGACCCCCCACGGCCUUUUCUAAUAAAGAGGGCUAAUGACGGUACCGUAAGAAUAAGCACCGGCUAACUACGUGCCAGCAGCCGCGGUAAUACGUAGGGUGCAAGCGUUAAUCGGAAUUACUGGGCGUAAAGCGUGCGCAGGCGGUUAUGUAAGACAGUUGUGAAAUCCCCGGGCUCAACCUGGGAACCCCCCCCUGUGACUGCAUAGCUAGAGUACGGUAGAGGGGGAUGGAAUUCCGCGUGUAGCAGUGAAAUGCGUAGAUAUGCGGAGGAACACCGAUGGCGAAGGCAAUCCCCUGACCUGUACUGACGCUCAUGCACGAAA
rnacentral:rRNA from 1 species